rfam:Stegodyphus mimosarum contig14895, whole genome shotgun sequence.
GUCUUCGUAGUGUAGUGGUCAGCACGCUGGACGCGCAUUCGAGAGGUCCGUGGUUCGAGUCCCUGCUAGGGCA